rnacentral:tRNA from 2 species
GCGCCUGUAGCUCAGUUGGAUAGAGCGCAACGCUACGAACGUUGAGGUCGGGGGUUCGAGCCCCUCCAGGCGUA